rnacentral:rRNA from 1 species
UACGAAGGGGGCUAGCGUUGCUCGGAAUCACUGGGCGUAAAGCGCACGUAGGCGGCUUCUUAAGUCGGUGGUGAAAUCCUGGAGCUCAACUCCAGAACUGCCUUCGAUACUGGGAGCUCGAGUCCGGGAGAGGUGAGUGGAACUGCGAGUGUAGAGGUGAAAUUCGUAGAUAUUCGCAAGAACACCAGUGGCGAAGGCGGCUCACUGGCCCGGUACUGACGCUGAGGUG